rnacentral:rRNA from 1 species
ACAGGGUGACAGCCCCGUACACAAAAAUGCACAUGCUGUGAGCUCGAUGAGUAGGGCGGGACACGUGGUAUCCUGUCUGAAUAUGGGGGGACCAUCCUCCAAGGCUAAAUACUCCUGACUGACCGAUAGUGAACCAGUACCGUGAGGGAAAGGCGAAAAGAACCCCGGCGAGGGGAGUGAAAAAGAACCUGAAACCGUGUACGUACAAGCAGUGGGAGCCUCUUAAUGGGGUGACUGCGUACCUUUUGUAUAAUGGGUCAGCGACUUAUAUUCUGUAGCAAGGUUAACCGAAUAGGGGAGCCGAAGGGAAACCGAGUCUUAACUGGGCGCUAAGUUGCAGGGUAUAGACCCGAAACCCGGUGAUCUAGCCAUGGGCAGGUUGAAGGUUGGGUAACACUAACUGGAGGACCGAACCGACUAAUGUUGAAAAAUUAGCGGAUGACUUGUGGCUGGGGGUGAAAGGCCAAUCAAACCGGGAGAUAGCUGGUUCUCCCCGAAAGCUAUUUAGGUAGCGCCUCGUGAAUUCAUCUCCGGGGGUAGAGCACUGUUUCGGCAAGGGGGUCAUCCCGACUUACCAACCCGAUGCAAACUGCGAAUACCGGAGAAUGUUAUCACGGGAGACACACGGCGGGUGCUAACGUCCGUCGUGAAGAGGGAAACAACCCAGACCGCCAGCUAAGGUCCCAAAGUCAUGGUUAAGUGGGAAACGAUGUGGGAAGGCCCAGACAGCCAGGAUGUUGGCUUAGAAGCAGCCAUCAUUUAAAGAAAGCGUAAUAGCUCACUGGUCGAGUCGGCCUGCGCGGAAGAUGUAACGGGGCUAAACCAUGCACCGAAGCUGCGGCAGCGACACUAUGUGUUGUUGGGUAGGGGAGCGUUCUGUAAGCCUGUGAAGGUGGCCUGUGAGGGUUGCUGGAGGUAUCAGAAGUGCGAAUGCUGACAUAAGUAACGAUAAAGCGGGUGAAAAGCCCGCUCGCCGGAAGACCAAGGGUUCCUGUCCAACGUUAAUCGGGGCAGGGUGAGUCGACCCCUAAGGCGAGGCCGAAAGGCGUAGUCGAUGGGAAACAGGUUAAUAUUCCUGUACUUGGUGUUACUGCGAAGGGGGGACGGAGAAGGCUAUGUUGGCCGGGCGACGGUUGUCCCGGUUUAAGCGUGUAGGCUGGUUUUCCAGGCAAAUCCGGAAAACCAAGGCUGAGGCGUGAUGACGAGGCACUACGGUGCUGAAGCGACAAAUGCCCUGCUUCCAGGAAAAGCCUCUAAGCAUCAGGUAACAUCAAAUCGUACCCCAAACCGACACAGGUGGUCAGGUAGAGAAUACCAAGGCGCUUGAGAGAACUCGGGUGAAGGAACUAGGCAAAAUGGUGCCGUAACUUCGGGAGAAGGCACGCUGAUAUGUAGGUGAAGCGACUUGCUCGUGGAGCUGAAAUCAGUCGAAGAUACCAGCUGGCUGCAACUGUUUAUUAAAAACACAGCACUGUGCAAACACGAAAGUGGACGUAUACGGUGUGACGCCUGCCCGGUGCCGGAAG